GAACGCACCUUGCGCCCUUUGGCUAUUCCGAAGGGCAUGCCUGUUUGAGCGUCAGCAGCAAAAAAAAUCAAAAUCUUUGUAGGUAAAGAUUUGGAUUUGGUUAAGAGAUGUAAUCUGUAAAAGAACCGGUUACACUUUUGAAAUUCAAAGGCAGUAUUGAUCAAUCCAACUGUAAACGUGAUAACACAUUUCGUUUUAUUGUUAGGAAUGAGCUUUUUGCUUGCCUAUAAACCCACUCAUCUUUAUGGGUGACCUCAGAUCAGGUAGGGAUACCCGCUGAACUUA
rnacentral:misc_RNA from 1 species